AGCGGAGGAAAAGAAACCAACUGGGAUUACCUUAGUAACGGCGAGUGAAGCGGUAAAAGCUCAAAUUUGAAAUCUGGUACUUUCAGUGCCCGAGUUGUAAUUUGUAGAAUUUGUCUUUGAUUAGGUCCUUGUCUAUGUUCCUUGGAACAGGACGUCAUAGAGGGUGAGAAUCCCGUUUGGCGAGGAUACCUUUUCUCUGUAAGACUUUUUCGAAGAGUCGAGUUGUUUGGGAAUGCAGCUCAAAGUGGGUGGUAAAUUCCAUCUAAAGCUAAAUAUUGGCGAGAGACCGAUAGCGAACAAGUACAGUGAUGGAAAGAUGAAAAGAACUUUGAAAAGAGAGUGAAAAAGUACGUGAAAUUGUUGAAAGGGAAGGGCAUUUGAUCAGACAUGGUGUUUUUUGCAUGCACUCGCCUCUCGUGGGCUUGGGCCUCUCAAAAAUUUCACUGGGCCAACAUCAAUUCUGGCAGCAGGAUAAAUCAUUAAGAAUGUAGCUACUUCGGUAGUGUUAUAGCUUUUUGGAAUACUGUUAGCCGGGAUUGAGGACUGCGCUUCGGCAAGGAUGUUGGCAUAAUGCGUUAAAUGCCGCCCGUCUU
rnacentral:rRNA from 1 species